UAGAGUUUGAUCCUGGCUCAGAGUGAACGCUGGCGGUAGGCCUAACACAUGCAAGUCGAACGGCAGCACAGGAGAGCCUGCUCUCUGGGUGGCGAGUGGCGGACGGGUGAGGAAUACAUCGGAAUCUACUUUUUCGUGGGGGAUAACGUAGGGAAACUUACGCUAAUACCGCAUACGACCUACGGGUGAAAGCAGGGGAUCUUCGGACCUUGCGCGAUUGAAUGAGCCGAUGUCGGAUUAGCUAGUUGGCGGGGUAAAGGCCCACCAAGGCGACGAUCCGUAGCUGGUCUGAGAGGAUGAUCAGCCACACUGGAACUGAGACACGGUCCAGACUCCUACGGGAGGCAGCAGUGGGGAAUAUUGGACAAUGGGCGCAAGCCUGAUCCAGCCAUACCGCGUGGGUGAAGAAGGCCUUCGGGUUGUAAAGCCCUUUUGUUGGGAAAGAAAUCCAGCUGGCUAAUACCCGGUUGGGAUGACGGUACCCAAAGAAUAAGCACCGGCUAACUUCGUGCCAGCAGCCGCGGUAAUACGAAGGGUGCAAGCGUUACUCGGAAUUACUGGGCGUAAAGCGUGCGU
rnacentral:rRNA from 1 species